UCUUAGUACAUGUGUAUUUAACACGAUACCGCGUAUGGCUCAUUAUAACAGCUAAAAUUUACUUGAUUUUGACUUUUAUCCUACAUGGAUAACUGUGGUAAUUCUGGAGCUAAUACAUGCAUAAAAGAUAUUUUCUUUAUGGAAAUAUUGCGUAUAUUAGUAUUAAAACCAAGCAUUCUUCGGAAUGUUUUGUGUUGAAACUGAAUAUAUCUGCUAAUCGUAUGGUCUUGUACCGACGAUAUGUCAUUCAAGUGUCUGAUCUAUCAACUUUCUAUAUAAGUAUAUAGUACUUAUAUGGUUUUGACGGAUAACGGAGUAUUAGGGUACGACUCCGGAGAAAAUGCCUGAGAAACGGCGUUUACAUCCAAGGAAGGCAGCAGGCGCGAAAAUUACCCACUCUCAGUACGAGGAGGUAGUGACGAGAAAUGACAAGAUCUAUUCCUUCGGGGAUGGAUCAUUGGAAUGGUUUGAUUUUAAAAUCAUUAAAGAGUAUCAAUGAGAGGGCAAGUCUGGUGCCAG
rnacentral:rRNA from 1 species